CUGAUUCUCUGUCUCCCUACCAUUCGUAAUUGUAUAGACCUCUAUCAUAUCCCCCCUUCAUCCUCUGUUUUCUAAGAUGAACAGUCCUAGUCUUUAUAAUCUCUCUUCAUAUGGAAGCUGUUCCAUACCCCAAAUAAUUUUUGUUGCCCUUCUCUGUACCUUUUCCAUAUCUAAUAUUGUUUUUGAGACAGGGCAACAGAACUGCACACAGUAUUCAAGGUAUGGGCGUACCAUGGUUUUAUAUAGUGGCAUUAUAAUAUUUUCUGUUUUAUAAUCUGUCCCUUUCGUAAUGGUUCCUUACAUUCUGUCAUCUUUUUUGACUGCUGCUGCACAUUGAUGGGAUGUUUUCAAAGUACUAUGCUGUCAUUCAAAACACCUAUACAUCAAAGAGUUUGGAAAAUCUCAGGUAAGAUUCUAACUCCUGUCUUCACUUUGUCCCCUUCUGUUUGCCCAUCUUCUGCUUACUGGAGAAACUCCCACAAGCUGCCAUAAAAAAGAAACAAUGUUAAUGCAUUGUUGUUGUGUAUGUAAAUUGUGCUAGGAAAAUAAGUUUGUUGCUGGAUGAUCUAACCCAGGGUCCUUCUUUCAGACUCUGCCGGGCUGCCCUUUCGGGCAAUCCAAAUAGGACUACUCACAUGAGUAAGAACUACUUGCCUGAGUAAGGCUUUGCAAGGUCAGGCUCCCUUCUUGUAUUUUAAGGAAAAAAGAAAAGGCAUUUGCAGUCACAUUUGUUGAUUAGUUUUGUUUUGUUUGUACAUUUGGGGCAUGUAAAUAUGGAGGUAGAAAAUACGGUGGUAGUCUGUUAAAAUGGCAGUGUGUUCAGGGACUCUAAAAUUGGCUGUAGAAUACAUUGCUAUCAACACAUUUACCCCGAAAUGUGACUAAAAGUUUGACUAUAUAACUAUUUAUGACCAAUAUAGGUCGUAUAUUCAGCAUCUUGGGAAAAUGUAUUGAUAGGAAUGAAUAAGAGUAUUUAUUGUAUUAUAGAUCUUCAGUAUUUUAUAACAGUAAGUGGAACUUUCCAAAGACAUUUACGUUGAAAAAAGUGCAGUAAUGAUUAUACGUCUGCACAAAAUUAAAAUACAGCAAAGUCAAAAUACCAGUGCUUUGUUUAUGUAUUGUUAAAUUUAAAUAUAUAUGUUUAUAAGUUGUAUGCAUCUUGUUUACCAGCAUCUUGGCAGACAGUGAAUGUAGCAUGUGUUGGUACUGUUACACCAGAGACUAAAUAAAAACACAUAUCGCUCACAAGAAGUCAGCUUUUAUUCAACAAACCUUCUAGUGUCUGAUUCUGCUCCUGCUUAAGCCAGUGGGGAAAAUCCCAGUUAUGAAAAUGAUAUUUAAAUAGCACUGUGCAAACACAUAGCAAGAAACAGUCCCCCUCCUGAAGAGUUUGUGGAGGCACAGAGGGGUAAAGUGAUUGCCAGGAGUAGAACCCUGAUCUUUUAGGUUCCACUCCAAGAUCCUAUCCAAAAAUUUGGGGUAUAAUGUUGUCCCUGAACAACUCACAUUUCUUCUGUGCUGGAGAAGCCUGAAAUCUCUUGAUUACUAUAUCUACAAGACUUUGUAAAUGGCAGAUAAUAUAUACUCAUUAAGUUAAGUAAUAAUAAAUGGAAUUGCUCACCAAGUAAGGUACUACUCAAUGUGAGUAAGAGUGGCAGAAUCUGGUCCUUAAUCAGUUGAAAGAUGUUGCUAUAUUUGCAGGCCCUUUCAUGUGUUAAUUUUGUAUUUUCUUUUGUCUUGUGCUUUUGCAACUGUGUAGACAAAAAUGCUUGUUUGUGUAUGGCAGCUUUUUAUAGCAUAAUGAUUGGCACUUUAUACAUGCCCAGAGGGUGCAAUGUAAAUCUUGAUGGAGUAAUAAAUAGAUGGGUUGAUCUCUAAGAACACAAUUUUUUAGGAGACUGGUACAUGAGCUCAGUUUGCAAAACUAAAUGUGUGCUUAGGAACAAUUCCUAUGUUUGGUAAAGCAGAAUUUAAUAAAAUUAAAGGCCCAGUCCAGUACCCUCUUGUUCACAUGAGGAGUCCUUACUCAUGCGAGUAAUCCCAUUGUCUUCAAGGAAGCCCCUAGUAUGAGUAAAAAGUGUUCAGGAAUAGUCAAUAACUUUGAAAAUUUGAAUUAAAAUUAAGCUUGCUUUUACAAUCACCAUUGUGUGUGUGUGUUGUUAAUUCACCAUAUGUAGAAGACUUUGUGGUUCUUUCUCACACACAGAGAUAAACGGUAAUUGUCAAGUAGUGUAGGCAUGAAAUGGAGGAGAUAUAAGAUAUGGAUCUUAUUCCUGUUGCCCUACGCCAAAUUGGAAUGGCUACAUUGCUAUCAUCCCCAACUGCAGCUUCCUCCCACCCUUGGCCUCCCAGCCACAUCCUUACCCUUGUAACUUGCUCCCACUACACAUAGUCCAAGCAAGCUCCCUAUCAUUCUUUAAAUCACUCCUGAAAAUAUGCCUCUUUCAUUAAUCUUUUCAAUGUAAUUCUCCCUGAAGCUAUCCCAUCAAACUGACUUCUGGCACUUUAGACAUGUCUGAAGUGUUUGUCUGCAUCUGAAACAGAUUGCAAGCUCCUUGAGAAGAGACCCAUGAGAAGACCCCCAGCUGGUACAAAUCAGCGUAGCUCCAUUGACUUCAGUGCCACAGCCCAGCAGUGGAUCUGGAUGGUUGAUUGUUCAGAGAUGACCACACUGGUAGAGCUUUAUAAAUAAUUAUAAUUUCAGCUGGUUGAAAUAGGGAAGGGAUGGGAAGAGAAGAGAAGAGAGGGGGGAACAAUAGUUAAAAAUGUUAAUGUAUUUUCCAUUCAGUGAGGUUUGAACCUGACCCAUUUUUUACUUUUUCAAUAUUUAUCACAAUUAUUUUAAUCAAUUUGUUUAUCAAAAUUGAAAAAAAAUCUGGAUGAAAAUGUCAUGAAAAGUUGAGUGAAAAACAAACUUUGAAAAAAUCAUUAAUUUUGUCAUAAAAAAAUCAUUUUCAAUAAAAGGUAAUUUUUCAAUGAAAAAACUUUAUGUUUGAAAAAUUUCUACCAGCUCUAAUAAUAAUUAAUGAAUAGUCACUCUGCCUGCCCACAGCCUAGCACAGAUACGAAAUUAUAUGGUGAAUAUACUCUAUAGUGGCACUUCUGCCGUGUAGACCCAAGGGUUUAGUUUGCCAAACUUUUACAAAUCUUCUAAGAAAACCAUUCUAUUAAUUAGGCAUCCUGACUAGCCAAGCUGGUGCCUUGUGUGUUCACUCUAGGCUACAUAAAAAGAAAAAUACUCUAAAGACCACUGCCCUACACAACCUGCUCUUAAGGGACCACUGAAAAGUAUUCCCAUGUGAUUUCCAGUUCAAUUUUGUUUGACUUUCAAAUAAAGAUCACUUCUACUAUGCAAGUGAUUUUUAUUGAUCCCUUGAGUGUGUCCUUAAGAUAGGUUUAUGAUCCUUGUCCUCACCUGGUGUAAAUCAGCAUACCUCCAUCAAAGCCAGUGGAGCUUCACUAACUGACACCAGCUGAGAAUCUGGCUCUCUGUGUCAAUGUUCAUGCUUACAAACACUGUGUGGUGUUAUAUAGUGGGUGCCAUUAGUAAGUAAACAAAUACUUCACUGUGGCAUUACCUUCAAUAUUUCUUCUACUUCGAAUGUAGGCUAUACUGAGGCAUUUAUAUUGGAGUGUGGUAAACGUUUACUUUUUUACAGUGCCCACUGUGACUGGGUUCUGCUUCUAUCAAGUAUAUACUAGAAAAGAUAAACAAUGUAGCCACAACUGAAGCUAAAGCAAUUUAGAAAAAUAUUAUGCUACUGAUGGUGCUAAACUUAUAGUGUGCAAAUGAAGCCUAGAGCGAGGUGAUGCAGCUUCACAAAUUGUACUGGAGCUGACUACUUUUCUUGUAUUUUUAGUUCCAUAAAAAGGAAACUUCUACAACUUUGUGUUCUUUGUUCAUAUUCUUCACCCACUGAAUUAACAUGGUUACCACUUCUAUGUUCUGCAUAUGCUUAUUGCUCUAAACAACUGAAUGUACAGGGCUGGGUUUUCAGAAACCAUACUAAAUGCCUGGCCCAUUCCUCAUAAAUCAGUACCCACUGGCAAAAGCAUGUUACCUGCAAUGAUGUCAAAAACCCAAUCUUAAACUGUUUCGGAUCAGUGGAUUUUAGCAGAGGGGGCAGAGGCAAUAAAAGCACAACUUCAGGUUAGGAUUCUAGGAUUCUUAUUCUGAAUUUAUUUCACUUGGAAAAUGAAUAAGCAAGAAGAAGUGUUUGAAAAACAGGCAAUGGGGCAGAUUCUCCACUGGUAAAUCAGCAUUGACUUCAAGGGAGCAAUGCCAAUACAUCCCAGCUGAGAAUUGGCCCACUGUCCUAAACAAACAAAGAAGCCAGACCAAAAAAAAAAAAAAAUCAGAACACUCCUGUCCCCUUUGAACUUGGAGUUAUUCACACAAAUCCUAGGCUUGGGUGGUAAAAAUCAGCAUGGCUUCAGUUUGCCCAGCUUUUCUAAGCUAGAAGAUCUGUUCUAUAAUUACAUAGUGCAGUUUCUUCAAGCUUUGCCCUAUUGAGAAGCAGCAGGUGGCUGUGAAAUGCAUGGUAGUAUUUUUCAGGGAUUUUCCAUCUGUUUAAAGAUGUACAUCUAAAAAAUGUGCCCUGUUUAAGUAUCAGACCCAACAGAUAAACAGAGCAGUGUUCACCUCUUUCAGUUAUAUUUCAUUAUGAAUAAUGCCAAAGGCUCAGUCUCUUGACAGCACAAAACUAAGCAACAGAACCACCUGGUGGGGAAGAAAAUCACUCUCCCACAUACAAAACCCUCCACUGAUACAGAUUUGCUGAAAUAUACAGUACAUCCCAGUACCUAAACAAGUUAAUACACAAGUUAUAACCUUUCCUAUGUGAGGCCAGUGUUUUUGGUUUUUUUCUUCUUCUACCAACCUUAAUGGUCCUUAAUUUAAUUUAAUUUAAUUUAUGUAAUGAUAGAAAUAUAUGUAAUCUAGCACCUGCACUAAGAAAUAGAAAUAAUAUAUGUAGUAAGAGGAGGCCUUAGACAUAAACCCUUGUAUCAGAGGCCUGGUAUGAGGCCUAAGGCCUGAACUAAAGUAAUGGUCAAGACUUUGCUAACAUAAAGCAAAGUUAAGCUGUGAGCCAGAGGCAGGCUCUGCUCACAGAAGCUGGCAAGGAAAGGGCUGAUGCUGCAAAAAGAUACAUACCUAAAAGGUACUGGACACUAGAUAUCAGAACAUUCGGAUACUUGCACAUUCCACACAGAUAACAAGGAACAGGUUGACCCAUCCCAAUGACAGGGCCAAAAGGGGAAUAUGAUGGAUAGAGUUGUUUUGUUCAAACCAACAUGUACAAGGUGAAAGGCAGCACCUUACUAUGUAAAGGGAUUGUACCUUGCUACAUAGAGGGGUUGUACCUUGCUACAUAGAGGGGUUGCACCUCAAUACAUCAGGAGUGAUGUGUAAUCUGUUUGUACCUGUGUAUAAGAAUGCAUCCCUGAGUGGAUAUCUUUGUCCAGCCUAAGGGGCAGUGGAAAGUCCCGCCACUGACUGAGCUGAGUCCAUUGUCAAGGAAGCACAUAGCCGCACCUUAGCAGCACCUUGGACUUCGUUUGCUGGGGAGCUGGAGACUGUGUUUCUCUUCAACAAUAAACCUGGCCGAUAUGCCUUCGUACCUUACUAGAGUUUGUGGUCAUUGGGGUUCUCUCGGGGUCUGCUGUAUCUGUGCAGAGCUGGGGCAGCACACAGAGGGAACACACGCACGCAGCCGAUUGAUAUCAACAUUGAACAGAGCAGAGCACCACACCGGUAGCAUUUGACAACACUGGUGACCCCGACUGUUGAUCUGUUGCAUCCCACAGACCAAAGACGCCAGAAAAUAUCACACCCUGAAGACAGCAGAUGAUAUCAGUAUACAGUAAAGAAACCCCCAAGCAUCAAGAACAGAAAAAUGAAAUGCUUUAUAAAUAAGAGACUGGUCAAAUACACCUCUAUCUACCAUAUAUAAACAAUUAAGUUAACAAUCAGCUAAAAAACACUAGCUGGACCAGGAUAAGCCGUCAUUUAAUUUCAACUUGGUUACUAUAUAAAAACAACUGUAUUAUUGCUGUGCUACUGUAUUAUUGUUGUACUGUUGUCUUAUUGCUGUAUUGUAUUAUUGCUGUACAACAUUUACAAUGUGCAUAACCUUGCUAAACUGUUUAACCAACACACAGGUAAAAAUCAAUAAACAAAUGGCAGCAAACAACAUGAAGGCAAGAAAAAAACAAAUUGGUAAAAAAAUUAAGUUACACAGUAACUACAAAUUGGGUAAACAAAUUCCCUCUUAGUACCAGUCAUAAUUUGGGUUACUGACACUGCAUCCUAACUGAUGCACAUGUUAUUCAAAACAAUCUUGUUCAGUGUCUGGAUACCAAUACUAAAUCCUGACACAGCACUAUUUAAUAAAUUGGUUACUGUCCAGUCAGUAGAUUAUCUAGAAGACAGCAUCCAUAAGAAACCACUGGAUCUAUGUCCACUACUGGUGUAUCGCAAAGCCAUGGAACAAAGAAGCUAGCCACUUCUAUUUCCUGCCCAGUAAAGCUAACCAGAGGGUGACAACCAGCAAUAGGGUAACUUAUAACAUGAAUGGACAGUACUGUGUAGUAACUAAUUACAAUAUAUUUAUAUAUAAAGGCCUCAGUGAUAGUGUCACUACUCCAAAUUUCUGUUUUACUUCUCAUAUAACAUAGUCCUGUGGAACACACUAUCACAAUCCCUAUCCCAGUAUUUCAAAACACUCAGCCUACUACUAACGAUGAGACAAGUGAUAACUGGAAUUGCCCUAAUGGGAGUGUGUUUCUAUCUGUGUCACCAAAGUAAAAGGGCCAGAGUACAACACCAGACUGGAAAAACAUGGUUAUGCUUGGAUAUAAGGUGGUAUCAUAUGUACACAUACGUACUAUACAUAUAUGCCCAUACACACUACAAAUAUAUAUGCCAUAUCCAUAUAAUUCAUAUAUAUUAAUUAUUUGGAAGUGCCUCUAAGGCUCAAUCAUAGUACUACAUUCCUUAGUCAUGGUCCUGGGCCUAACAUUCCCAGGCCCACCAUAAGGGACUAAAAGAAUAAUUAAAUAAUAAAAUCUGCCUAUCAGUCGUACAUGGGAAUGUGCAGACUAAAAAGACAGAUGGGGCAUGAGUGUAUGAAUGGUAAAAUAAGAUAACCACAUAAUAGUGUUUAGCCCACUGGGUUAUCUUUAGACCAUGCAUUAUGCUUUUCCGGGACGAUUGGUAAACAUCCUCCCCUUAAAAAGACAAAAAGUGGGGGAAUGUAGUAAGAGGAGGCCUUAGACAUAAACCCUUGUAUCAGAGGCCUGGUAUGAGGCCUAAGGCCCGAACUAAAGUAAUGGUCAAGACUUUGCUAACAUAAAGCAAAGUUAAGCUGUGAGCCAGAGGCAGGCCCUACUCACAGAAGCUGGCAAGGAAAGGGCUGAUGCUGCAAAAAGAUACAUACCUAAAAGGUACUGGACACUAGAUAUCAGAACAUUCGGAUACUUGCACAUUCCACACAGAUAACAAGGAACAGGUUGACCCAUCCCAAUGACAGGGCCAAAAGGGGAAUAUGAUGGAUAGAGUUGUUUUGUUCAAACCAACAUGUACAAGGUGAAAGGCGGCACCUUACUACGUAAAGGGGUUGUACCUUGCUACGUAGAGGGGUUGCACCUCAAUAUGUCAGGAGUCAUGUGUAAUCUGUUUGUACCUGUGUAUAAGAAUGCAUCCCUGAGUGGAUAGCUUUGUCCAGCCUAGGGGGAAAUGGAAAGUCCCGCCACUGACUGAGCUGAAUCCAUUGUCAAGGGAGCACAUAUGUACUGGCUAGCCGCACCUUAGCAGCACCUUGGACUUCGUUUGCCGGGGAGCUGGAGACUGUGUUUCUCUUCAACAAUAAACCUGGCCGAUAUGCCUUCGUACCUUA